UCACCACUGACGAGUCCCGAACAGGACGAAACAGCUGUCCUGUGC
rfam:Echinostoma caproni strain Egypt genome assembly, scaffold: ECPE_scaffold0002432